rnacentral:rRNA from 1 species
ACUCAAAUGAAUUGACGGGGGCCCGCACAAGCGGUGGAGCAUGUGGUUUAAUUCGAUGCAACGCGAAGAACCUUACCUGGUCUUGACAUCCACGGAAGAAUUCAGAGAUGGAUUUGUGCCUUCGGGAACCGUGAGACAGGUGCUGCAUGGCUGUCGUCAGCUCGUGUUGUGAAAUGUUGGGUUAAGUCCCGCAACGAGCGCAACCCUUAUCCUUUGUUGCCAGCGGUCCGGCCGGGAACUCAAAGGAGACUGCCAGUGAUAAACUGGAGGAAGGUGGGGAUGACGUCAAGUCAUCAUGGCCCUUACGACCAGGGCUACACACGUGCUACAAUGGCGCAUACAAAGAGAAGCGACCUCGCGAGAGCAAGCGGACCUCAUAAAGUGCGUCGUAGUCCGGAUUGGAGUCUGCAACUCGACUCCAUGAAGUCGGAAUCGCUAGUAAUCGUGGAUCAGAAUGCCACGGUGAAUACGUUCCCGGGCCUUGUACACACCGCCCGUCACACCAUGGGAGUGGGUUGCAAAAGAAGUAGGUAGCUUAACCUUCGGGAGGGCGCUUACCACUUUGUGAUUCAUGACUGGGGUGAAGUCGUAACAAGGUAACCGUAGGGGAACCUGCGGUUGGAUCACCUCCUUACCUUAAAGAA